UCUUCUUGUCCUUGCACCAGCCCAAAGAUCCUCCAGCAGAUGCAGCACUGAGAAGUUUGCAUUCUUCUUCUCGUUUGCGUUCUUGUGACUGUGAGGGAUUCUUGUGUUGAAGAAAGAAGUUGCUGACCUGGGAUCUUCAUUGUCACAAAGGGAUAUGAAACACAAGAAUAAUGAUCCUGAAGAAUUUCAAUUCCACUGAAGUGAAGAAGGAACUUGCUGCACUUUGAGCCUAAAUGUGAUGUGACUUAUUUUCCUUCCUUGACUUCUCUUCCUGCCGAGCCCUGACAGUCGCUGUUCCCUGCCUGCUCACACCUGCCUGACCAGUGGUUGCUCUAUAAGAGGAAGUCCCUAAGGCUGCUGGUAACAAAUCUUCUUUUCUGCCAACAAGGACUGGGAAGGAAGACACUAAAUUGACAUCCUUCCCUGGGCAUUGUGGCAUUACCCAGUUCUAAAAAUAAGACUGAACAAUUUUGUGCCAAAUGAAGUAUUUAAUUUCAUUUUGGGCACUCAGAAGGCUUCUGUCGCCAAAAUCUGUCCUGUUGUAUAUGACGGAAUAAAAGUUCAGGGUUUGCAUUAGUAGCCAAAACCAGCAAAUGAGGUAGGAAAUGGCCAAGGAAAGAACAGGAAAAAGGGAAUAUUGUUAAAAGCUAAUAUUUUUUAAUGCAAUAUUUUACUAUGAGAAUAAUAAUGGAACAUUUAUAAUCCUAUCUGACAUAUGUUCACAUCAUGGGAAGGUAUUUUUCUGUCUGUUAAGAUUAAAGACAGAGGUUAUUAACACUUGCAAAAAGUGUAUCAGUGAGUAGGUAUAUUUUUUUUCAAUCUAUCUGCUAGCAUGUGUAUGUGUAUUCUAAUGACAGCAGCAUUAUCAAUAUAAAUAACAAUAUUAGAUAAACAAUGUCUAUCGUGAGACCUUGUUCUUGCAUCUCACAUCUAAACAUUAUUUUGUGUUGCGCUGCUGAAAAGUAUAUUAAA